UAGAGCCACCUCCAAUCCUUCUUCUCUAUGGUAGUCGGCUUCUCCUCAUACAAGAGAGCAUCAAUUAAUCCUUGUUGGAUGAACACAUCCUUCACCCUCCCUUGCCAUAGGAAGAAAUUGCUUUUUCUAUCAUACCGAUUGAUCUCCACCUUGAUUAAGCCUAUCUUCUUCAUCUUUUUCAACCUCGACCAACACCACCGCAAUCUAGACAACCAUAUGCUCUGAUAUCAUUUGUUGGGAAGGAUCUCUCACAAGUGCAGAAUACAGAUCCCCCACUCA
rnacentral:lncRNA from 1 species